rnacentral:rRNA from 1 species
CCUACGGGAGGCAGCAGUGGGGAAUAUUGCGCAAUGGGCGAAAGCCUGACGCAGCGACGCCGCGUGAGGGAUGACGGUCUUCGGAUCGUAAAACUCUGUCAGCAGGGAAGUACGGUCACUCUGCUAAUCAGCAGUGAAUUGACGGUACCUGCAAAGGAAGCACCGGCUAACUCCGGGCCAGCCGCAGCGGUAAUACGGAGGGUGCGAGCGUUAAUCGGAUUUACUGGGCGUAAAGCGCGCGUAGGCGGUAUGUCAAGUCAAGGGUGAAAUCCCCGGGCUCAACGUUGGAACUGCCUUUGAAACUGGCAGACUUGAGUAUGUGAGAGGAUAGUGGAAUUCCAGGUGUAGGGGUGAAAUGCGUAGAUAUCUGGAGGAACAUCAGUGGCGAAGGCGACUAUCUGGCACAUAACUGACGCUGAGGAGCGAAAGUGUGGGUAGCAAACAGGAUUAGAUACCCGGGUAGUC